GCAGAGGCUGAUCUGGUCUAUUCAAAUUGUCCAUAGUCCCUCCCUCUCAAACUCAUUUAAAUACUCCCAACGCACCCUCAAGAACAGAGCGCGCCACCCAGUCUUUCCUUUCGACGUGCAUCCCUGAGCACCAGCCGCUUUCGUUUCCGCCAGCUAAAGACAAAGAAAGAUGUCCGACGAAGGAAAACUUUUCGUCGGUGGCCUGAGCUUCGACACAAACGAAGAGUCUUUGGAGGCGGCUUUCUCCAAGUAUGGAAACAUUGCAAAAGUUGAUGUGAUCAGAGACAAAGACACGGGAAGGUCUCGUGGAUUCGGCUUCGUCAAGUACGACAAUGCCGAUGACGCAAAGGAGGCGUUGGGCGAAAUGAACGGAAAAACUGUGGAUGGGAGGACGAUUCGUGUGGAUGAGGCAGGAAAAGGUGGAGGCCGAGGUGGCGGUGGAGGCGGAGGCAACGGCGGCUACAGAGGAGGACGCGGUGGAUAUGGUGGGGGAGGAUAUGGUGGAGGCAGAGGUGGGCGUGGUUACUCACGAGGUGGUGGCGGUGGAGGAUAUGGUGGUGGUGGUGGAGACCGGGGAUACGGCAGGAGCUAUGAUUCAGGCGAUCGGGGCUAUGGUGGCGGCGGUGGAGACCGGGGAUAUGGCGGUGGUGGCGGAGGCGGCUACAGAAGUGGUGGAGGUGGCGGAUAUUCCUCCGGCGGCGGUGGAUACAGGGACAAUAGGGGCCAGGGUGGCUAUGGAGACCGGUCGGGCGGCUCCUACAGAGACGGCUAUGACAGCUAUGGUACGUAUGACUAGAUGCCCCUCACACCACAGGCCACGCCUCUUGGCUCACCUGAUGUUAGUUUAAGGUUUUCAUAGGGGCCCUCAAUCUCCCCAAAAGACAUUUGGCUUUUGGGGGGAGGGGGGGGGGUACUGUUCAUUUAGGGAGACUCCACCUGCCUCUGCUUUGGGUCCAGAUGUGGUUAAGGGUGUGUAGUGGGUGUAGCAGUGGGAUUGUCAAUGUUCCUUCAAACUUUCAGUGUCCUUACUUUUACCCGCUUCUUGUCCUCAGCUUCACACGAGUAAAAAUCCUCCCUGAUUCAAGAUCACCCCCUGGCUGGCUGUAUUUAAAAACAGAUGCGCUCCUCAAGAAAUAUGUCCAUGUUGUGUUAUUGACCUGAUUUUUUUUCUGUAGUCCUAUUCUGUGUUCCAGUAGCUCGAGCACCUUGAAGUUAGUUUCGGCCAUUCCUUUACAAACCAUGUUUAAAAGUUUAAAAACAGAGAAGAAAAAAAAUAUACGAUCCAGUUCGAUGUCUUACUUGUGUGGUGAGACAGCUCCUUCAGCCUUUCGUUUGGUUACAUGAUGAAAAAGCAAUGUCUUGUUGGUCCCGUCAAAUGCUAACUUCGGUGGAAAGUAACCCAUUCCUACUCACAGGCGCUUGUUUCCCUGAAACGGCUGCUGUUUCGACGUUCCUUUGCCCUGUUUUCACCUAGCACUGACAUCUCCCCCCGGCCUGUUCCCUCACCUGGGGGCUCACCUGGGGGCGUCCAUUGGGACCUGUGUACCAUUUCAGUUCCUCUAUUUUAUUUCUAUGACCAUGCCCGUGACCUACCUCCUGCCACGUUUUAAACCAGAGCGAAAAGAUUCCACUUAGAAAGCUGGCGGGCGGGGAUGUACUUUUUGGAUUUUAUAGAUAUAUUAUACAUUCCUUAAGUGUUGCUGGGCAGCAAAGCCUCCUCCUCUGCCUCUAAUAGAAAGUUCUUGACGUAACUGAGGGUCCUGUAUGUGUGCCGUUUCCACAAAGAGUGAAUUCCUUUCAGACUAGUGACACCCACACGCCUGAAGAGGUUGGCUGUUAAAUGGAAGUAGUAAAAUUCACCAUGCUACAGCCAGCCUAAGGUAUCUCUUUUUUGUUCCUCCUUUUGGUUCUCACUGUUUGUUUUUUUGCUCUGCUCAACUUCUUGCAUUUUAAAUGUGCUGUUAUGAUGGACUGAACUGUAGAAAAGAUCAACGUCAAAUGUUACUUAUCUCUGCCCAAUAUGAUAAUUCCACAUGGGAACGAUUUUGUACUUUCUGUUCUUUGUAUCAUCAACAUUGAAGAUUUAUUUUUUGUCAAUUCUGGCUUCAUGGAGCCUAUUAAAGCGAUUUUGUUCAAAAUA